rnacentral:rRNA from 1 species
GGGCCCGCACAAGCGGUGGAGCAUGUGGUUUAAUUCGAUGAUACGCGAGGAACCUUACCAGGGCUUAAAUGUAAGUUGCAUUAGUUAGAGAUAACUAUUUCUUCGGACCACUUACAAGGUGCUGCAUGGUUGUCGUCAGCUCGUGCCGUGAGGUGUCAGGUUAAGUCCUAUAACGAGCGCAACCCUCUUGUUUAGUUGCCAGCGAUUCAAGUCGGGAACUCUAACAAGACUGCCGGUGCAAACCGUGAGGAAGGUGGGGAUGACGUCAAAUCAUCACGGCCCUUACGUCCUGGCUACACACGUGCUACAAUGGUCGGUACAGAGAGCAGCCACUACGCGAGUAGGAGCGAA